UACGUAGGUGGCAAGCGUUGUCCGGAUUUACUGGGCGGAAAGAGCGCGCAGGCGGUCGUUCAAGUCGCGUGUGAAAGCCCCCGGCUCAACUGGGGAGGGUCACGCGAUACUGAUCGACUCGAAGGCAGGAGAGGGUAGUGGAAUUCCCGGUGUAGUGGUGAAAUGCGUAGAUAUCGGGAGGAACACCAGUGGCGAAGGCGACUACCUGGCCUGUUCUUGACGCUGAGGCGCGAAAGCUAGGGGAGCAAACGGG
rnacentral:rRNA from 1 species